rnacentral:SRP_RNA from 2 species
GCCAGGUGUGGUGGCGUGCGCCUGUAGUCCCAGCUACUUGGGAGGCUGAGGUGGGAGGAUCGCUUGAACCCAGGAGGUCGAGGCUGCAGUGAGUCCUGUGCACCACUGCACUCCAGCCUGGGUGACAGAGCAAGACCCUGUUUCAA